GUUUGCGCAUUAGUCUAGUGUGUAUAUAUAGCCCUCAAGUUUCAUUGUUCCUUUGUCUAGCUUUGUUCCCUGUAACCUCUGUUGGCAGCAUUACAGCAGCAGUGGGGAAAGUCGUGGCUUUGGGUUACAUGAGUUGCUGUGGUCCUGAGCAAGAAUGGCAAUUUAAAGAGCUUUGUGAGUGUGGGUCCCUGAGAGCACUUCAUCAAGGCCAUGGAGCUAGAGGAAGUGGACUUGACUGUCAGUUACCACACAGGAAAGGACCCAGUCUGUCCUCAGGAUCCGAAGCCAGGUUCCUGUCAGGAUUCAUAUCACUCCACAGCCUUUAGUGCCAUGCGUCUGUCCGGGGGUGAAGGCAUCUCUCACCAGCACAUCUGGCCAGCAGGAGAAGCCUACCAAAGUCCCUUCUGCACACAUACAUGCAUGACCAGACAGAAUGUUUUGAAAGCAUACUAUUAAUUCAUUAAACAUUUAGAGAAUGUCAUAUAUUACUUGGGACAGAGGUUAAGUGUGUAUUUGUCAUACAAAUCUAAUGGUUUGAAUGUGUUUUUUGAAUGUGAAAUUUCCCCAGGCCUAUAUAGGAGAACGUGUCUUUGGGGAUUUUUUGUUGAGAAUGAUUAUAACAUAUUACUGUUUUUAGACAAUCUACUGCACAUAUGUGGACUUUUAAAUAGAUCCUAAAUAGAUUGUAAAUAGAUCCUAAUUAGAGGGAAAAGUCCCUUUUGCUUCACCAUGUAAUUGCUUGGCCUAUGACCUCUGAAACAUGGGCUCACUUCAGGCUGUGUUUGAAUACUGAGACUGACAGAAAACAUGUAAAUCAUUUAAAGCUGAUGAAAGCUGUGUGUUUUUGCCACUGAAAGAUUUGGAAUGUUCUUAGACUUCUUACAGAUGAAGAGGAAGAAAUUCAGACACAUUAAGCAAGAUCACACAAACAAAACUGUUCACACAAGUAGAGUUUAAUUACUGAAUGAAUUAGUUUUUAUUAACUAAUUGGUUUAGUGACCAAUUCAAUGACUCACUCAUAAAGACAGUCACUUGUUUCAUUAUUGAAUGAAUCAGAGUUAGAAACAAAUCAAUUGACUGAAUGAUUUACUCAUAAAGACAAUGGAUGCGUCCAAAAUCGCAUACUCUCUUCAGUAGGAAUUUAUUUUGAAUAAGUACUUACUUUGCAUCUGCUAAAAAAGUAUGUUCUAUAUAUUGUGAAUGUGUGUAGUAUGAAUGCAAUCCAAACGAACUACAUUUAUCAUGUUGUCAUUGUCAUGUGUCCAGUUACAUUUGCUUAAAAUUCCUCUCCCUUGGCCUCAUAGGACAGUAAAGUUUACUGUUUUUUAUAAAUACUGUAUUUUGCCUGCUAUAUAAUAUGGAAGUAUGCAAUUUUGGAUGCAGCCAGUCACUCGUUUCAUUCCUGAAUGAAUCAGUGUUUUGAUCCAAAUGAUUGACUGAAUGAUUCAAUGAUUCACUCAAAAAGACAGUCAGUUGUCUCCAUCUACUGAUAUUGAUGUAAACACCGACACUGAUAUACUGAAUAUGAUACUGAAUAUCAGCACUCUUGGAAUGGAACUCUUGGAAUGUUAUAUAAUCUUUAAAUAAAGGAGGAGAAUAAAACUGUUUUACAAUGGAUUAUCAAUUAUACAACCUGCAAAUAUGAAGAACCAUUGUGUUUCAGGAGAACUAAGACUCUGUAUCUGUUGAUAAUCUGUUGAUUAACUCGCAUGCAGCCACCAGGCUACACUGUUCCAUCUGUGUAUUAUGCAUGAUCCGGGACAGAUUACACUUGGCAAGGCAAAUUUGGCAAACAAGCUGUAUGUAAUGUGGCAGGUUGGAGAAGAGAAAGUUGCUGAUGAAAACUAGGUGAGGGGACAGCAAGUGUUGGGUAUAAGUGUUUGAACUGAACGGGUAAGGUUACAUAAAAAACUUUUCUUCUCUGUAUUUCUCCUCUUCUCUGGCUUGCUUCCUAAUCUAGUUGUGACAAACCUGACAUUGUAUAUUAUGAAUGUUGUUGGCUCCUUGUUGAAUUGCUUUUAUUACUCUUUUGGAAAAACGCAUCUGCUAAAUAUAAAUUGACAUGCCAUGCUGUUGACAGUUAAUAAGUUUCCCUUUUUAGCGGAAUGAUUAUGUUUAGUUCUGAAUCUGUUAUGAUCUCCUCUAAUCUGAGACGUGGUGCUCUUUUAGUGUGAACAAUGCGCACCGUUUUUGAACAUGGUCACCCUUGCCACCGCCCACUCCUACUUGCAGUUCACCUUCACUAUAUUUAGCCCCACGUCUCCUGAAAUGACACUCUGGAUGCAAGCCCCCUGCUGACAUUCUGAUUUCAUCUGUGUUUGUUAGC